rnacentral:rRNA from 1 species
UACGUAGGGGGCAAGCGUUGUCCGGAAUUAUUGGGCGUAAAGGGCGUGUAGGCGGCGUGUUAAGUCCUGUGGGAAAGGCAGGGGCUCAACCUCUGGAGAUCAUGGGAAACUGGCAAGCUAGAGGGCAGUAGAGGGGUGUGGAAUUCCCGGUGUAGCGGUGAAAUGCGUAGAGAUCGGGAAGAACACCAGUGGCGAAGGCGACACUCUGGGCUGCACCUGACGCUGAGGCGCGAAAGCUAGGGGAGCGAACGGG